AUGGAGCAGAGUGCUCACCUUCUGGCCCCAACACUGGCAAGGCCCAAGCUCACCACCAAGGCCGACGAGCUCCCCGAAGCUGUCGUCGCCCAGGAUGCGGGUGCCGCCAUGGCCGGCUUCGUGGGCCUCCUCCGCCAGCUCGGGGACCUCGCACAGCUCGCCGCGGAGGUGUUCCAAGGCCUGCACGACCAGGCCACGGCGGUGUCCGCUCGGGCGGGCGGCCUCGCGCUGGGGGCGCGGCGCCUGGAGGCGGAGCUGCCGCUCUUAGAGGAGCGCCUCCGUCGUCGUCGGAAUAGACGGCCCUGCUUCGUGCAGCACAACGUCGCCAUUGCUUCAGAAGUUCCGUGUCGCGUCGCAGGCCAUGGUGUCGAUCGGCCGGUGAUUUUGGUGGGAGGAACAAGGCCGUGCUCCAUCGAAGAGCACAUCCAGCGCUGCCGCAGGCCUCCGCAGCUCUCCAUUCUGGACAAGUAUGAUGCUGGUGGCGAGGGAGCGUGCUUGAAGAGAUACACCGACCCCUCCUUCUUCAGAGCCCACUCUGCACAGCAUGAAUCAGACCUUCAGAGUUCAGACAACCAUUCCAAACCUCCUGCCAAGGAAGCCCACCAUAACAAAUACUCCAAAUUUAAAACAGGCGCGUUGUCCGAUAUGCUCCAACAACUUAAAUAUCGUCACAUGAUCAGAAGAAAGAGGCGUCAAAAGCACAACUUUCAGAAUCAGGGUUCGUCACAAGAUGAAGCAUCUGAAGCACGCGUUUUGUCUUCAGCUGAUUCGCCUGAAACAUCAAACUCCGAAGCGCCAUGCCCUGCAGUACCAGCGAACAAGGAGAGGAGCAGUGACCUCGCUGAGAGGACCAGUUCGUUCGGGGCAUGGCUCUCUCCAAGUGCAGCCUGCUGUACUGAUGCGUGUGAAAACACACCAGACAAUACUGAUGGAUCUGCCAGCCAUGGCGCAAACAAGGCCGACGAGAAUGCCAACAAUGCGGACAAAUUCUCGUAG
rnacentral:rRNA from 1 species